rnacentral:rRNA from 1 species
GACGGAGGGGGCAAGCGUUGUCCGGACUCACUGGGCGUAAAGGGUGCGCAGGCGGCAGAGCGCGUCCGCGCUGAAAUCUGUCGGCUUAACUGACAGGCGCGUGCGGAUACGGCUCAGCUCGAGGCACGGAGAGGGUGGGGGAACUCCUGGUGUAGUGGUGAAAUGCGUAGGGAUCAGGAAGAACACCCGUGGCGCAAGCGCCCACCUGGCCGUGACCUGACGCUGCGGCACGAAAGCGUGGGGAGCGAACCGG